GACAGCAGCCGCCGCGGUAAAACGUAGGGUGCGAGCGUUAAUCGAAAUUACUGGGCGUAAAGCGAGCGCAGACGGUUACUUAAGCAGGAUGUGAAAUCCCCGGGCUUAACCUGGGAACUGCGUUCUGAACUGGGUGGCUAGAGUAUGUCAGAGGGGGGUAGAAUUCCACGUGUAGCAGUGAAAUGCGUAGAGAUGUGGAGGAAUACCGAUGGCGAAGGCAGCCCCCUGGGAUAAUACUGACGUUCAUGCUCGAAAGCGUGGGUAGCAAACAGGAUUAGAUACCCCCGUAGUCCCUGUCUCUUAUAA
rnacentral:rRNA from 1 species